rnacentral:lncRNA from 1 species
UGAAUGGUAAGGACUAGUGUUUGGAUGUUACAGUCUAUGCCAUUAAACAUUUGGUGCAGAGCGUCCGAUGCCAGGACACAGCAAUCCGAGCUAACCCAGUCUUCACCUGUUGCUCACACCUCAGAAUCUGUGGUGGGCCAAGCAGUGAGAAGCAGUGGGAAAGAUAGGAAGCUUCGCUAUUUCAGACAUGAGCAUUUUCAGCGGGAUGUCUCAUGCAGUCUUGACUUGUCACAAAUCCAAUUUCUUCAACUGUAACAAGCAAUCCAGGGAACCUGUGUAGCCAGGGCAUCUGCCAUCUCGAAGGACUCUCUGAUUCGUCAUACGUGUUCUCACCACAUCGACAGGGUUUGAGGCCAGGGCCCCCGCCAGCCCACAGGUGAAGCUUGAGAGGAAAUGAGUAUACACAGUGUCUCCCAUCAAGCCCGAGAGAAUCAGAUGCUUCUUGGUGAGGUCGUAGACUGGCAGCUCCACACCAACAAUAGUGGCCCUCUGAGCAGUAAGGGACACGCCCUUCCAAAGUCCUCUUGUUCCCUCUUGCUGUAAAUGUGAAUGAAGUUGCCUAUCACUCCUCUUUGAAGGGUGCUAUUUUGUGCUUGCAUCCGAAUUUUCAAAACAUCAGUUGGAUUAGCAAUGGUUGAGGAUAUCACUCCAGAGAGAAUUCCGCAGACCACAUUUAUCAGAAGGGUUUCAUCUUCCGGGCGCUCGACAAAUAACCGCUUCAAGCUCUGGUAGGCGCCUAUCUUGAUGGUGCCAUAGGAAGCCUGGAGCAACAUCGCAGGAGCAAUCCCUGGAUACAGUGCUUUCAGGCCUUCCUCUCUGCCUAUCCUCACUAAUGCAUGCAACAUUCCUCGAUACCUGAUUUCUUUAAAGUUUGCAUUAUUCUUCUGGCCUUGAAUCUGGAGGUGUGUCUUGGUAAAAAUCAAUUGGAAAAGUACUGCACUCCGCUGUGAUGGAGUCCAGGCCUCCGUACACGAAGGGCUUCCAGUUCAGGGCUGACAUGCUCACCGCUGUCCCUUCUCCUUUGUUCACAGACGCAUAGCCUCCAACAGGGUUCUUCUGGGUGGCGGUGGCCCUGCACCUCCUACUCCCCAGGCGCAGCAGCAUUCGGCUCCAGCGGCCACACGGAACUGGAGGAAAGGCUGAGGAGCGGCGGGGGCGGCCCAGGAGCCCGCGCGCAACCCCGCCCCGCCCUGGGGGAGCUACUUUUUAUUGCGGUGCACGGG